GACGUGUUUUCUGCGAUGCUGUUCGCUGUGAUAGAUAAUGGAUAGCCUGCUGUAAAUAAAGCUGCUUUUAGCUGCUAAGAUCCUGUGUGGACUUUGUUUAAGCACACUGAAGAAUGCACUGGAGUGUUUUGCAGCUUCCUCUAGCCGCUGUUGAUCUCAACUCUGCUAUGCUCAGAAGUAUCGGAUUCUGGAAUGCAGAGGCCCGCGAUGGGGAAGCGUGCCGGACCUCAGGCUUAUCUGAGCAAUAAAUCAAUUUAUCUAACAUGAUGUAUGGAAGUGAAAGCUGGACCAUAAAGAAGGUUGAUCGCCGAAGAAUUGAUGCUUUUGAAUUAUGGUGCUGGAAGAGACUCUUGAGAGUCCCAUGGACUGCAAGAAGAUCAAAUCUAUCCAUUCUGAAGGAAAUUAGCCCUUAAGUGCUCACUGGAAGGACAGAUCCUGAAGCUGAGGCUCCAAUACUUUGGCCACCUCAUGAGAAGAGAAGACUCCCUGGAAAAGACCCUGAUGUUGGGAAAGAUGGAGGGCACAAGGAGAAGGGGACGACAGAGGACGAGAUGGUUGGACAGUGUUCUCGAAGCUACCAGCAUGAGUUUGACCAAACUGCGAGAGGCAGUGGAAGACAGAAGUGCCUGGCAUGCUCUGGUCCAGGGGGUCACAAAGAGUCGGACACGACUAAACGACCAAACAACAACAUUAUAGCUUCAUUGGACCUGUACACAUGUAUGUAAGUAUAUACUUUGUCAGAUGAUUAUAAUUCCAGAUACUCUUUUCAUUCCUAGAAUAUUCUAGGUUUGUACGUUUGUGAACAUCAUUCCUGCCUGGCAAAAUUAAUGCAGAUGCCAAUAUACUACACACAAUUCAGGAGGAUCAUGGCUCAGACAUAGAUGAGGAAUUAAUGUUGGUUGCAGACGUCUCAUAUUUCAUUGGAUGAAAGUCUACAAAUGCCAUCUCUUUAAGAACAGCAGACUGGAGCGUCUGACAGGUUGGUGUCAUUCGAAAGCAGAGAGGGCUUAAUUAUCAUUCAGCUAAUCCCAUAAGGAGACAUCAUUUGAUUUCAUUAGUGAAGUAUAAUUUUGCUCACUUUAUAGCAGCCGCUCAGCUGUGCCCCGUAAUCUGCUGACUCUACAAAGUACCGCAUGCAACAUAUAUAUUUAACCUCUUUCCCCCUGACAACGAAAAGGUAAAGGGAAUGAAAAAAUGGGUUGAGGUGAAGAAGUCUAAUCGAGAAGAUGCUGUCAAUUUCUUUCGGAUACACGUCUUCCAAGCAAUGCAACUGUUUCAAGUGAGCGCUGCACUCCCAUUUACAUUGCCCCUUUCAGAACAGCUUGCGAAAAGAAUUGACAGCAGUUAAAUAAAAUAAAGCAUACAAGGAAUAGUAUACAAUGUAAAAAUAGAAGAAACAGCGCCUGUGUAAUUAUUCUGCUACAAUAACAAUUAGUCGCAGUCAUGGCUGAUGCUGUAUUUUAUUGUAUCACAAAGUGUAUUGCAAAGUGCUCUGGGAGCUUGAAGAUCCUGAGAUCUUGACGAAGAGCAGGGUAUAAACAAAACUGAAGAAUUCAUAAAUUAAUAAAUAAUACUGUGGAGUUGAAUCAUGGCCAACAGAACUGCAUGUUGUGCCGCUCAUAGAAAAUGCAAGGUUUAUUUGAAUAUGUUAACCCUACAAUAUAAGGAAUGAAAAUAUUAUAUAUAGUCUCUUUGCAGUUCCUCCACAGCACUCACACCACUACCAACAUCACAGGCCUGAUCACAUAACUAUGAAAGGCACACCUUUCAUAGAAAAAUGUUGAGGUUGGCACUGUGCAGGCACACUGAUGGGAGUGAUGGAUCGACUCCAAUGGUUGGUCUAUAACAGGGAUGUCUAACAGGUUGAUUGCGAUCUACUGAUCGAUCCCCAGGAGGUUUUGGUAGAUCGCUGUCAAUCGCUGGCUCCUCCAUCCGGCCCCACCCCCUCGCCCUGCCCUGUAGCUUGCUAGAAUGGAAGAUGGAGCUCUCUUCUUCUUCUUCUUCUUCUUCUUCUUCUUCUUCUUCUGGAUGUAUCUUUUUAAUGUUUUUAUUAACAAUUUCAACAUAACAAAUUCUCAAAAUAUAUAAUAUUUAUUAUUUUCCCCCUCUCCCCCAUCAAACCCUCCCCCUGAGACUUCCCUCAGCUCUGCUCUGUGAUUUCUCAACGCAUAUUAUUCUCUGCAUGUUAUAAAAUUAUACAUAUCCUUACAUUGUCUAUCUACCAUGUUAUCUCCCCCCCCAAAAAAAAUAUUAUUGGUUUUCUCUUAUAACACACAGACAAAAACACAAAAGAAAAGCAUUACAUUUGACACAACAUAAAAACUUAACAACAAUAAAAACACACAAAAUAAAAGAAUAUUUUUUUUUCCUUCUUGUUCCCUGGUGUAUUUACAUUGCUAAAAGACUUCAUCGACAUCCUCCAAUCUGGAUUUCAUCAUAUCACAUAUUUAACAGUUCCCAAUUAAUCUACCAUGUUAUCAACCAAUAAGUUUGUGUAUGUUUAUUCAAAACCUGCCAAGGAGUCCAAUUCAUUUUGUUGUCUUUUUGGAUAAAUUGUAAAAAAACUCCCAUUCUUCCUUAAAGUCACAGUUGUCCUUGUCCCGCAAUUUGUAUGUCAAUUUAGCCAGCUCUGCGUAGCUCAUCAAUUUUUCUUGCCACUGUUCUUUCGUUGGGAUUUCCUCAUUCUUCCAUCCUUGUGCUAUCAAGACUCUUGCCGCUGUUGCAGCAUGCAUAAAUAACUUCUUUAUUUUCCUUGGCAGGUCUUGUCCUACAAUCCCUAACAGAAAUGCUUCUGGUUUUUUUACAAAUGUCAUUUUAAACAUUUUUUCUCUCCAAUUCAUUAUAUAUCAUUUCCCUUUUUUAAAAAACUUCUCUACAUUCCCACCACAUAUGAUAAAAAGUCCCUUCUUUUUCUUUACAUUUCCAACAUGUGUUUGACCCGGUUUUGUACAUUUUUGCUAUCUGUAGUGGUGUAAUAUACCAUCUAUACAUCAUUUUCAUAUAAUUUUCGGAAGACGGAGCUCUUGCUGUGAGGCUGACUGUUUAAUUAGCGAUCUCUUGUUGAGCGGCUUUUUAAAUUUUAUUCCUUUGCCUCCUUUCCUCCCUAAAUAAAGCUCAACAACUUUGACCUGAACUCCCCCCCAACGAGUCUUUCCUCCCUAAAAAUAGCUCAACAACUUUGUCCUGAACACCCCCAAAAGGGGUACAUCACUGCCACUUUUUAAUUGUGUGAGUAGACUGCAGUCUCUUGGAAGCUGGCUGUCCCUGGCCUAUAAGACGCCAACCUCCCUCCAACCUCGUCACUCUCCCACCAGCUUCUGUUGGCUACAGGAGUCACCCCAGAGUAGAUUACCGUAUUGGCCUGAAUAUAAGCCUCACUCCCCCCCGUCCAAUUCCAACCGUGAAAAGUUAAAGUGCGGCUUGAAUUCACAACCUUACAAAAAUUAGUUUUUACAAUAUCGCUGCUGAAACAGACAUACGGUAAAACAAAACGGGUGUGGGUGCCUGCGGAAUUUUAAGGGAGUGGCUUAUAUUCGGAUAUUGUCUUUUUUUUCCCUCCCCCCCUCCCCGAUUUUUUUUUUUUUUGGCAGUCUUUCUAAUUUAUUAAUUUUAUUAAGUACAAAAUAGAAAAACAUACAUAUUUACAACAAAAGGAAAUACAAAAGAAAAAAGAAAAUACAUAUAACCAAGGAAACAAUUAGAGAAUAUUUUGUCUCUUUUCAUAUUUACAGUUAUUUAUGCCUCUAUAAAAUGCUAUUCACAAUAAAGAAGUGAAAUGAAAAGAAAGAUAUCUGAAAAAAAGAAACAGUAAGAUAUCUGAAAAAGAUAUCUGAAAAAAGAACAAAGAGAAAAUAAAGAAAUAGAAGAAGAAAAUCAAAAGUAAAGAUUUUUAAAAGUAGGUAAGUAUUCACUAUACACAGCCAUUUCCAAUCUAUAUUUAUAUUCAAAUAUACAAUUUCAUCUUGUCCUCCCUGAAUUUUAAAGGUGUGGCUUAUAUUCAGGUGAGGCUUAUAUUCGGUUGCAGCUUAUAUUCGGGCCAAUAUGGGAAGUCUACCAAACUGUGGGCAAAUUGAGGGAAAGCAACAACAGCUCAGCCUUCUCUGUGGGAAUGGGGCUUUCUGGUCUAUAUGUGAGCUUCAGACAGAUCUGAACUCCAUAAUCUCUCACCGUGGAAAUUAACUAGUGAUCCUUUUGGGAGCCACUGACAACCGCUGAUCUAAUGCAGUGCAGUGUAUGGGGCUCUCCAAGACAAAGACGAUGUUAGAACAUCAUAAAAAGAAAAAGAGAAAAACUGGCAAAAAUGAGGCAAAAUUUCUGGACUAGGUUUCCCUACCAUUCUCACCUCAUUUUAUUUCACAUAUGUGUGCGUGCGCAUGCAACUUUGCAGGGACAUGUGUGUGCAUAUCUUAGAAGCGUAAAUAAAAAUAAAAAUCCAGCAACAUUUCAUUCAUUCAUGCAUGGAUCUACUGUUUAAUACAUCAUUUCCCCAUUAUAAUGAACCACCAGAAACAGAAUUUCUACAUCAUCUGCCAGGAAUAUGGUUCCAUUAGCCAAGCAAGUGAAACAUGAAAGAAAAUCCCUCAAUAAUACUAAACUCUGCUCUUUAGCUUGCAAAAUAAUGUUAAAGAAAACACAAAGCUAGGACAAUUCCUUUUGAUUAUACAUGGCAGCACGCCUGAUAGUGAGUUCCUAAGGGGAAUAAAUAGGUGCAUGUUUAUUUUCAACGCUGUCAUAAAGACAAAAAUCCUUUUACUUAACAGUGGGGUAUGUAAUCCCAAAGGGUUUCCCUAUGGCUAAAAUUACUACUUGAUUGCUUUUUGAUAGCACAGUGCAUAUGAAGCGGAUUACAUAUGUAAGAUCUCUCUUUACACCUCUCAAACAAUAAGCAGCAUUUGGAAGGGGCGGGGGAGAGAAUUAAUCCCUGGGGGUCAUAGUAGAUUCUCCAGUAAAUGCUGAUUACCUCAUUCUAAAUACUUUUAUUUUCUUUCUAUCUUAUUAUGUUCAUAGACCUACAGAGGCACAUGAGUUAGAAUUUUUGGCUUUCCUCUGCUACGGAAAGCACACAGCUAAAAUCCAUCAUUCCUCUUUUACUCCACCCCCAAAUUCAAAUUUAAAUGUAGGAAAUCGCCUGACUUCAGAAUAUCUGUAAAUAUGUGUCUUGUUUCUCGGCAAGAGUGCACACCGGGAAUCCUUGUUGCGAAGCAGCGAGGAGGACCAAAUGACGCCGGGAAAUGUGUUUUCUAUAUAAUUCCACCACUUUCAACCACUUAACCGUGUAGCAUCAGUGCUUGGGCCCAGCAGUCAAGAAUCUUACAGUCCCCUUGGAGAAAAUAAAUAAAUAAGUUCUGAUGGAGCUACCGAAAGGAGGAUGGUAAAUUAUUUGAAAUCUCCAGAGUCCUGUUCACUUCAAAUGGCUCUAAAAGAUGAAUGAUAGAGUCUUAGACCUGGACAAUCCCUUUUUGUUCCCCACGGAAGCUGCUGCCCAAUAAAGGUAAAUAGCUGUGGUGAAGUACAAAAAAAGGGUAGUUGUCAAGAGCUCCUGUAAAAAUUUUGUUUAUAAGACUGUGUUCGGAUUUCAGCCAUUACUCUGGGGCAAAAAGGACCUGCUGAGGUGAUUAUCAUUUAAAGUAUCUGAAGGGGCUGCCUGUUGGUCUCCUCAUGCCAGCGAUAUUUUUCAUUUACCAAGGACAUAUUGAGGACUCAAUUUACAAGAAGACUAGAGGAGGAAAGAAAAAACAUUUAUGAGAUGGGAUGCUCUCUUGCUGUUACUAAAUAGCAGACCCAUUAAUAUCUCAUUGCUGGUAUUCAGCUCUGAGGUUGUUUGCCCCUGUGAUGCAUUACUUGUGUAUUUCAAAGUUGAAAUUACUAAUGUACAGCUGAAUGAGAGGCAUGUGUUAUUUUCUGCACUAGGGGUGUUUAAUCUCAGAUACGUGUGUAUAGAGUUUCAUACAUGUUUGUCUUUCUGCUUUUUCACAGAAAAUGGGAGCACUCCCUGUAUGAGCUUCAAACAAAUGUCUGAAAACCAGAGCUUUAAUGACUUGUGUAACCAUUUGGUUGUCAGGAUAAAAAGAAAAAGAAAAAUGCAGAAGGGUUGAAUGAAUGAAUUUAUUAUUUCGGUCACAGACCAGUUUCAGCCCACAUACAGUAUCAAGGAAAUCAUAAAACACGAUAGGGAUACAUUUGAAUUUGCAAUUAGGUAUAACAGAGACAAUACAGAUAUAGCAACAAUUUAUAUAUAUAUAUAUAAAUUAAAACUUGGUCACUAACAUAUAACCUGAAAUUAUCAUUAAAGUUUUAUGGCAAUCACACAGAAUUUGGCUACCCUUAAUGUGAUUUGGCUACCCUUAAUGUCCUUCACUGGAAGGACAGAUCCUGAAGCUGAGACUCCAAUACUUUGGCCACCACAUGAGAAGAGAAGACUCCCUG